rnacentral:sRNA from 1 species
UUAAUUAGACACUCGAGACUAAACACACUCGGCUGUCAUGGUUUGAUUUAAUUUUAUUAUCGUUUUCAUGCAUUUACUUUUUAUGCUAAUUGGGUUUUAGAGGAGUGUCGAGUCAGGUCGGGUAGUAGUAGUGAUUUAUGUCAAACUAGAACGCCCAAAGAGCAAGUCAUUACUAGAGCUCUUAAUCAUUUUCGCAAAUAGUUUUAAAGCAUUCCUUCAAAGGCACAUUAACAGCGCGCAUCUAACUCCUGUGUGGAUCUUCUAUAAGCCACCAAUUAUCACUGCUGUCAAAUGAUCCGCCAAGAUCGCGGCUUUAACAACCAUCCAUCAUCAAGUUAUACGAGUGUUUGCCCAGCAUUUCACACAACCCAGCUACUUCCCUCGCCCUCUCAUGAGCACUCGACUUUUUGAGACGUGUAUGACACAUCGGCAUACUUUGGCCAUCACCGUGUGUGGACUUGAAACAAUAAAAGAUCUGGCAAGAAAGGCAAAUAAGAGCAAAGUAAAUUAUAAACAAAUAAAAGCGGCACGCGAAACUUUGUGGAUGAAGGGUGAGAGCUCAUUACACUCCACGGGCACUCGAAGGGCCCUCCAAAAAUCAUACUUUAUGUUAAUAUGACAAACAAAAUGUUCGAAAACCUCUGUUGUUGUUUCGUGUUUUUCGAAACAGAGACAGCAGUCCACAUCAAAACUGGGAGGUUGCUCAAAAAGUUUAAAUAAAUGCAACAAAAGUCGAGUUUGGAUUUCAAAAACUUAACUUUUUACCCAUUUUAUCGAAUAAUAAUUCAAUCUGGUAGAGGAAACUAACAUUUUCUUGUUGUGUAGCGACCACCAAUCCAAAAAAAGAUCCAUUGUUUGGUUAACUGACUCUCAAAUUGAAACUUUUGAUAGCUUGACGCUGUUUCGUGGCUUUGAAGCUGCCGAAUCAAUAAAUAUUUGAUUUGCUUGUAAGACGGAAAAAAACUUAAAGAUGGAGAGUACUCGAGCCGCUCUUCAUAAAACCCAGGAGUUAAAAGUUUCUUUCUGGCAUUUGAUUUAUUUUCGAGUGAGCGCAAUAAAAGUUUAUCUAUAAUGGAUUUUAAAAUCUA